rnacentral:lncRNA from 1 species
UUGUUUAAUAGAUUUUUGUAUUUUUUUUGAAAGACAGAGAAAUCUCAACCUCUAAAGUUCAACAUAAUGAAAAUACAUCAAACUUUUAAAAGUUAGGUACAACUCGCUUUUCAAAGGAGCCGACCACGACUACUCAAAGUCUCCCUCUACUGAAGCCAAAAGGAUUAAAUUGAUGCACAGUGAGAUCUCAUCUAUACCUUUUGAGAUAGAGAUGAAGUUUCACUAGAGGAAAGUGAACGACAAAGGGAAGAAGAGCAACCAAUUGAAGAACAAAGCACUAAGCACCAUUGUAACAACACUCAGUCCAAGGAGGAGAAAACUGUAUGCAAACAACAGAAUAAAAACCAACAAAAUAACAAACAGCUGCAUAUUUUAAAAGAGUAAAAGCAAUAGAGAUCGGAUCUAACAGCCAAACCCAUAAAAUACAUUAAAGAACCAGAUCUAACAAUCCUUUCAAAAAUCUCCACAGGAUUUGCCAAAUAACAAAAAACUAUAUACAAAACCACCCGAAGGCGGGGAGAGGAAACCCACUCUCCCGGCAAAAAGGGAAGAGGAGGUCCCCUUGCCUAGAUGGGGCAAAGGGAACUGACGGUGCGACAGAGGCAACGGGAGACUUGCUCCUAGAAAAAGAAAUCCAAGUGAGAGAAAAAAACUCUCUCUAGACCUUCUAGAGAGAGAGUAUGAAAAAAACUUGUUAAGAAGUUGACUUAGCUGUUGCGGCAAUUUCAUUCUUGAUCACUAAGUUGCUGAAAUUUCAUUUAUUUUUAUGUUAUUUCUUAACUUUGACUUGUUCAAUGACAUGUCAUCCAUUAGUUGC